ACCUAUGUUACACUGUGAAAAUGCCUUCGAUGUCUCUCCUGUGGUUCGACACGUGCAGAAUCUCUCUAUGGAUUAUUAUUUUCAAAAUAUGAAAGAAGUAUUUAUACGGAAUCAUUUCGAUCUCCUCGAAAAAUACCAGAAAUCGGAUAUGCUUUUAACCAAGAGGAUUUGGAGUUAUUUGAAAAGUGGAGUCUCCUUGGCGAGAGAGGAAGUCAACUUGAAAUCGGGGUUAGCAGCCAGGGUCAGAUUUUUCAAGCAGGGUCCUCUGGAAAGCUGGACCUCUAAAGUAAGGAAUGCUAGACCUUCAAAAAUGCAAUAGAAGUGUAGAGUUUCCCACUUGUAAAUGCUACGUUACAGUUGAACGUCAAGAAUCUUAAGAACUGAUAAGCGAGUAAUCGCUUGGGUUCGUGUGACAAGAAACAACAAGCUGGAAGGCUGUUUCCCUGGACUUUCCCGUCUUUUGGAGCGUCUUUGGAGGCAAGCAAACGGUUUCCUGUUCUGCCUGCGCUGCCUGACUUCCGCACUGAGGAUUCAUCCUAUAAGCUAGAGGUAGCUGGACUUCACGACGGCGACUGUUCCGCAGAUGACUGAAUGAACUUUUAAUUUUAAUUGAAAACUAAAGAUAAAUAUAAUAAUGAUCUUUAUAAUAAUGUAAAACUUUAUUAUUACACUGAAGAAUAAAAGCAGUGGUUUAAAAAAUAAAA